CAAACAGCCUACGUUCACUUGCCGCCGCCUACUGGUGUAGCAGUUAAACACGUUCUUUAUUUCAACAUCAAAGAAUGCUUAUUUGCAAAAUGUUUAAAGACUCAAACGAGGCCCAGUUAGUUCCGCUGAACUUUGAGAAGAGUGUAACAUGAAAAUCCACAACAGAAAGGAAGGAUAUUGUUUUAAGGAGGACCGUAUGUUCGAACAUGGAAUCUUCAAUGUUUUUAGAGAAAACAGUGUGAAUGUUACCCACAUGUCAUGGUGUCAGUGGAGGGACAGACUGGAGUUUUGUAUGGCUGCAAGAAUACUGAUGAGCUAUGGAAAUGACGGACAGUGACCAGGUGGAAAAUCAUCAUGGAAAAAAGUGAUGGGAAACAGGACAUGGGUCUGCAGCCAGCACCUUGCGCACGCUGUCACUCCCUAGUGAACACCGCAGAACUAAGAGUGAUGGAGUGAAGCAAACACAGUGAUGUCAUGAUGCAUACUGACUUUUUCAUCUGCGAUAUAUAUACAUGAACAUGAAAUAGCAUACUACUGUAAAUAUUGCUGAAAAUAGUAUGCUUUUACUUGAAUGUGUUGUAAACAUGACUGUUCUUUUUAAAAAGGUUUGCAUGAAACGGUACCUCAAAAAAUUUUGAGAAGCAAAUAAUCUGAAGCAGUUA